rnacentral:rRNA from 1 species
UACGUAGGGUGCGAGCGUUAAUCGGAAUUACUGGGCGUAAAGCGUGCGCAGGCGGUGAUGUAAGACCGAUGUGAAAUCCCCGGGCUUAACCUGGGAACUGCAUUGGUGACUGCAUCGCUCGAGUAUGGCAGAGGGGGGUAGAAUUCCACGUGUAGCAGUGAAAUGCGUAGAGAUGUGGAGGAAUACCGAUGGCGAAGGCAGCCCCCUGGGUCAAUACUGACGCUCAUGCACGGAAGCGUGGGGAGCAAACAGG